UUUAAAAAAAACAUUUGUAAAACAGCUUUUCAAAAAAUAUAUAUCGUUAAAAUUGAACUUUGUUUAUAUCCACCAAUACCGGUUAAUCAAAUUAACCAAAUUCUUUAUAUCAGAAGCUAUUAGUUUAUCAAACAAAAGGCCUUACUAACAUCCUCAUCUUUUUAUCAAAACUGGUCAUAAUAUUAGAAGAUAUCAAACAAAAAUUCAAUGUUACUUUAAAAAAUGUAAUCUUUGAUUCCGUCUUAUAAUUUUUAAUUGAUUGCGAUCAGCAAAAAAAAAUUAAAAACUUUCAUCUAUAAUUAAUCUAGAAAAUCACAAAAUUUUAGAGGAAAAAACAUGGAUGUGGAUGAUGAUAGAUCAGAUUUGGGUUGGAUUUUUCUCCGCAAGGAGAAAAAUAAAAUUGACUCCUGAGUAAGUUAUUACAAGAAAAAAAUAAGUAAAGGGGAGGAAUAUGAAAAAGAAAUUAUGUGAUUUUCUUAGGGGUAUUAGGGGAGGGGGUUAUUAG
rnacentral:lncRNA from 1 species